UCGAGAAUCUUCCGCAAUGGGCGAAAGCCUGAUGGAGCGACGUCGCGUGAUGGACGAAGUGCUUCGGCACGUAAACAUCUUUUAUGUGGGAUGAAAUUAUUGACAGUACCACAUGAAUAAGGGGCUCCUAACUCUGUGCCAGCAGGAGCGGUAAUACAGAGGCCCCAAGCGUUAUCCGGAAUCACUGGGCGUAAAGGGUGUCGAGGCGGUUGUAUUAGUCGUUCGUAAAAUCUACGAGCUUAACUUGUAGGCGGCGAACGAAACGGUACGACUUGAGGUUUGGAGAGGUGCGUGGAACUCACGGUGUAGGGGUGAAAUCCGUUGAUAUCGUGGGGAACACCAAAGGCGAAGGCAGCGCACUGGCCAAAAUCUGACGCUCACACACGAAAGCUAGGGUAGCGAAGAGGAUUAGAUACCCUGGUAGUCCCUCGGGCUGGCAAGGCGCAU
rnacentral:rRNA from 1 species